AGUAGACUUGCUGGAUCAUAUGGUAAUUUUAUUUUUAACUUUUUGGGAAACUGCCAUGUUAUUUUCAGCAGCAACUGUACCCUUUUACAUCCCCUCCAGCAGG
rnacentral:pre_miRNA from 1 species